ACAUUGUCAGAAAUCGCCUAAAAAACCGCCCAAAAACAUGAACCCAUCAUAAUUAUUUUCUAAUUUUUUUAAUACAUUAAGCACCCUUUCAUUCUAAUGGACACUUAAGCAUUGAAAAAUUAAAUAAAUAAGUCUUUUAACGUUUAUUCUAUAAUACUAUUACAACUUCCGGACGUUUUGGUGCUUGGCAUGGUCUAAAACCUAUCAAGUUUCAUAAUUUUUGCCGAUAAAAUCUGUACGAGGCUUUACCGUACUUUAUUGCUGGGAGUCCAUGUAUAGUGAUGUUCCUGCGGCCAUCAUAGACAAUAAAAUAUCGAUUUUGAAAAAAAAAAUAAAUCGAUUAAAUUGCUUUGAAGACUAGAUUUGCGUUAAAAGCUAAAAAGAUAUUGACACUAUUACAAGAAGUUAUUUAAAGUGUCCAACUGGUCGAAGGUCGUAAAUAAAAUAAAAAUAAUUAGGACCAUAAACUGAUAUUCAUGAUAUCAUAACUGUAAAAGUGUCAGAAUCCGAUGUUGAAUCCAAUGCCAGUUGAAGUGAGAGAAACAUACCUAUAUCAACCUAGUAUAGUUGCCAGUCUCUCAUAAUCUAUGCCAAUGAGGGUUUUCGCGAUUGAAAAAUCCAAUCAUGCAGCAUUUGGACCUCGCGUCUACGUAUUGCCAUCUCGCGGAUUUUUCAAUCGCGAAAACCCUCAUUCAUAGCACAUGUAUAAUAAUAGACCAAAUGAACUUUUAUAGAUUGUGAAAGAGAAGAUAAAGAUUUUAUUAUUUUAUUAAAAUCUUGCCACGAGGUAGUUUUUCAGUAGAAACCAGGAUUGGAUAAUGGCUACAGAAAGAAAACCAAUGUGGAGCCCUUAUUAUUCAUACUGUUUGAAAGUUACAAGUCAGUGAUACAGUUGCCACCAUUAUAACUCCGUGGUGAUACCAUACCAAAGAAGAAGUUUUCCUAAACACUUGUGUUAUUUUUAUAUGUGAUCAAAUAAAAAGGAUUAAUUCUACUGCUCAAAUGGAAUAACUUAUCCCAAGAGACCGAAUAUAAAAAAAAACCCCUCCAUAGAAAUUAUCACCAUCACGAGGAUGUGAAUUUUUUUGAGAAUUUGAUAAUGGUCCUGUAAGAAAAGUAGUUGUAUUUCAGUAGUAGAAUCAACCCUUCUUGUUUCAUUAGCAAGAGUAACUAUAAAAACGCCCUGUAGGUAGGUAUUAUUAAGCUGAAGAGUUUGUUUAGUGUCAAAGACUGUCACACAGUGUAACUUAAAUUGGCAUUUAUUAUGAUAAUGAACAUAAAAACUUAAAUAAAUAUUUAUGUUAAUA